CGGGAUAACACCUGGAAACAGAUGCUAAUACCGGAUAACAACAGAUGAUGCCUAUCAACUGUUUAAAAGAUGGUUCUGCUAUCACUCUUGGAUGGACCUGCGGUGCAUUAGCUAGUUGGUAGGGUAACGGCCUACCAAGGCGAUGAUGCAUAGCCGAGUUGAGAGACUGAUCGGCCACAUUGGGACUGAGACACGGCCCAAACUCCUACGGGAGGCAGCAGCA
rnacentral:rRNA from 1 species